rnacentral:rRNA from 1 species
CGCGUAGGCGGUUUGCACAGUCAGGCGUGAAAUUCCCGGGCUUAACCUGGGGGGCUGCGUUUGAUACUCGCAGACUAGAGGAUGGAAGAGGGUCGUGGAAUUCCCAGUGUAGAGGUGAAAUUCGUAGAUAUUGGGAAGAACACCGGUGGCGAAGGCGGCGACCUGGUCCAUUACUGACGCUGAGGCGCGACAGCGUGGGGAGCAAACA